rnacentral:rRNA from 1 species
CAGCCGUAAACUAUGCUCGCUAGGUGUCAGGCAUGGCGCGACCGUGUCUGGUGCCGCAGGGAAGCCGUGAAGCGAGCCACCUGGGAAGUACGGCCGCAAGGCUGAACUUAAAGGAAUUGGCGGGGGAGCACAACAACGGGUGGAGCCUGCGGUUAAUGGACUCAACGCCGGACAACUCACCGGGAACGACAGCAAUAUGUAGGCCAGGCUGAAGACCUUGCCUGAAUCGCUGAGAGGAGGUGCAUGGCGUAGACGUCU